GUGCCAGCAGCCGCGGUAACACGGGGGGAGCAAGCGUUGUUCGGAAUCACUGGGCGUAAAGGGCGUGCAGGCGGCCUGGUAAGUGGGAUGUGAAAUCCCUCGGCUCACCCGAGGACCGGCAUCCCAAACUGCCCGGCUUGAGUAUGGGAGAGGAUGAGGGAAUUCCUGGUGUAGCGGUGAAAUGCGUAGAUAUCAGGAGGAACACCGGUGGCGAAGGCGCUCAUCUGGCCCAAUACUGACGCUGAGGCGCGAAAGCUAGGGGAGCAAACGGGAUUAGAUACCCCGGUAGUCC
rnacentral:rRNA from 1 species